rnacentral:rRNA from 1 species
GCGCAGCAGUCGCGAAACCUCCGCAAUGCGGGAAACCGCGACGGGGGACCCCGAGUGCCGUGGCAACGCCACGGCUUUUCCGGAGUGUAAAAGCUCCGGGAAUAAGGGCUGGGCAAGGCCGGUGGCAGCCGCCGCGGUAAUACCGGCGGCCCGAGUGGUGGCCGCUAUUAUUGGGCCUAAAGCGUCCGUAGCCGGGCCCGUAAGUCCCUGGCGAAAUCCCACGGCUCAACCGUGGGGCUUGCUGGGGAUACUGCGGGUCUUGGGACCGGGAGAGGCGGGGGGUACCCCUGGGGUAGGGGUGAAAUCCUAUAAUCCCAGGGGGACCGCCAGUGGCGAAGGCGCCCCGCUGGAACGGGUCCGACGGUGAGGGACGAAGGCCAGGGGAGCAAAACCGGAUUAGAUACCCGUGUAGU